rnacentral:rRNA from 1 species
AGAGUUUGAUCCUGGCUCAGGACGAACGCUGGCGGUGCGCCUUAUGCAUGCAAGUCGAGCGAAGCUUUUCAGUAGUUUACUACAGAAAAUGACUGAGCGGCGAACGGGUGAGUAACGCGUGAGCAAUCUACCUUAGUUACAGGGAUAGCCCGAGGAAACUCGGAUUAAUACCUGAUAUUCUUUAUUUCUCGCAUGAGAAUAAAAGGAAAGGUCAGCCGAACUAAGAUGAGCUCGCGUUCUAUCAGCUAGUUGGUGAGGUAAAAGCUCACCAAGGCUACGACGGAUAGCUGGUCUGAGAGGACGAUCAGCCACACUGGGACUGAGACACGGCCCAGACUCCUACGGGAGGCAGCAGUGGGGAAUCUUGCACAAUGGAGGAAACUCUGAUGCAGCGAUGCCGCGUGAGUGAAGAAGGCCCUUGGGUUGUAAAGCUCUUUCGUCGGGGAAGAAAAUGACUGUACCCGAAUAAGAAGGUCCGGCUAACUUCGUGCCAGCAGCCGCGGUAAUACGAAGGGACCUAGCGUAGUUCGGAAUUACUGGGCUUAAAGAGUUCGUAGGUGGUUGAAAAAGUUGGUGGUGAAAUCCCAGAGCUUAACUCUGGAACUGCCAUCAAAACUUUUCAGCUAGAGUUUGAUAGAGGAAAGCAGAAUUUCUAGUGUAGAGGUGAAAUUCGUAGAUAUUAGAAAGAAUACCAAUUGCGAAGGCAGCUUUCUGGAUCAUUACUGACACUGAGGAACGAAAGCAUGGGUAGCGAAGAGGAUUAGAUACCCUCGUAGUCCAUGCCGUAAACGAUGUGUGUUAGACGUUGGAAAUUUAUUUUCAGUGUCGCAGCGAAAGCGAUAAACACACCGCCUGGGGAGUACGACCGCAAGGUUAAAACUCAAAUGAAUUGACGGGGACCCGCACAAGUAGUGGAGCAUGUGGUUUAAUUCGAAGAUACGCGCAGAACCUUACCAACACUUGACAUGUUCGUCGCGACUUUAAGAGAUUAAAGUUUUCGGUUCGGCCGGACGAAACACAGGUGCUGCAUGGCUGUCGUCAGCUCGUGUCGUGAGAUGUUGGGUUAAGUCCCGCAACGAGCGCAACCCUCACUUUUAGUUGCCAUCAUUUAGUUGGGCACUCUGAAAGAACUGCCAGUGAUAAGCUGGAGGAAGGUGGGGAUGACGUCAAGUCCUCAUGGCCCUUACGUGUUGGGCUACACACGUGCUACAAUGGUAUCUACAACAGGAAGCAAGACUGCGAGGUCAAGCAAAUCCUUAAAAGAUACCUCAGUUCGGAUUGCACUCUGCAACUCGAGUGCAUGAAGCUGGAAUUACUAGUAAUCGUGGAUCAGCGUGCCACGGUGAAUGCGUUCCCGGGUCUUGUACACACCGCCCGUCACACCAUGGGAGUUGGUUCUACCUUAAGGCAAGGUUUUAUACCCUUGACCACGGUAUAGUCAGCGACUGGGGUGAAGUCGUAACAAGGUAGCCGUAGGGGAACCUGCGGCUG